AUACGUAGGGGGCGAGCGUUGUCCGGAAUGAUUGGGCGUAAAGGGCGCGUAGGCGGCCCGGUAAGUCUGGAGUGAAAGUCCUGUUUUUAAGAUGGGAAUUGCUUUGGAUACUGUCGGGCUUGAGUGCAGGAGAGGUAAGUGGAAUUCCCAGUGUAGCGGUGAAAUGCGUAGAGAUUGGGAGGAACACUAGUGGCGAAGGCGACUUACUGGACUGUAACUGACGCUGAGGCGCGAAAGUAUGGGGAGCAAACAGGAUUAGAUACCCUGGUAGUCCACACGGUAAACGAUGAAUGCUAGGUGUAGGGGGUAUCGACCCCUUCUGUGCCGCAGUCAACACAAUAAGCAUUCCGCCUGGGGAGUACGGCCGCAAGGUUGAAACUCAAAGGAAUUGACGGGG
rnacentral:rRNA from 1 species